UGUGGCUGUUUCUGAGCUC
rnacentral:miRNA from 1 species